GACGAACGCUGGCGGCGUGCUUAACACAUGCAAGUCGAACGGUAAGGCCCUACGGGGUACACGAGUGGCGAACGGGUGAGUAACACGUGGGUGAUCUGCCCUGCACUUCGGGAUAAGCCUGGGAAACUGGGUCUAAUACCGGAUAGGACCACUGCCUGCAUGGGUGGUGGUGGAAAGCUUUUGCGGCGUGGGAUGGGCCCGCGGCCUAUCAGCUUGUUGGUGGGGUGAUGGCCUACCAAGGCGACGACGGGUAGCCGGCCUGAGAGGGUGACCGGCCACACUGGGACUGAGAUACGGCCCAGACUCCUACGGGAGGCAGCAGUGGGGAAUAUUGCACAAUGGGCGCAAGCCUGAUGCAGCGACGCCGCGUGAGGGAUGACGGCCUUCGGGAUGUAAACCUCUUUCAGCACCGACGAAGCGCAAGUGACGGUAGGUGCAGAAGAAGGACCGGCCAACUACGUGCCAGCAGCCGCAGUAA
rnacentral:rRNA from 1 species